CUGGUUUGAUUGGUGUAAAUCAGUUUCCUUUCUAAGGCUCUAAGAAUUCCUGUCCCUUUAAAGGGCAGUAUUUAUUUUGCAGCAAGGGGCAGGGUUGUCCGUGGUGCUCUCUGAGCUUGUUUUCUUGCAGAUACAUUUUAGAGUAGUGACCACAUGCAAUAGCCACUUUGUCAAUUCCCCAACUAUUGCCAGUUACAUAAAUGGGAAACAGGGCAGACAAACACCAUGCCUUAAAAUAUUGGUUUGGAAUCAAAAGGUCCUUUAUAUGGGUGAAAAGCAACCCUUAUGAAAAGGAGGGUACUCUGGAAGACUCACUUCUCAUUCCCAUCAUUGUUGUGCUGCCUGUAAAGAUAAUAUUGCAUGUAUGGAAAAUACACAGAACCAGCUUGAUACUUAAUCCUCUUGCCUUAAGAUUGUCUACCAAGACUUGAUUUCAGAAUUUAAGCAUACCAGUCAAUGUUCCAACCUAAAAUUGAAUGUCUGUGAUGAUGUUUUGUCUAAUUUAUGCACAAGUCCAUGAUAAUCUGCUUUUAAAGGUUGUCAUUCCCUUAAGAUAGGCUAGGAGAUCCAACCUCCUGUUUUGCUUUCUAGCUUGCUUAAUUGAUCUCGUGAUAAUAGAUGGUGGCACUCAGUUCUGUAUGUAUACAGAAACCUUGGCACAAAAUGCCUUGGAGGAGAGUGGUGACUUACCAAACCUAUUGCAAAUCAUAUGAUCUUUCUUUCCUAAAAUUUCCAUGAGUCAUGUUUGGUUUUCAGGCAGGCACAACCAGUGUUAGUCUGCAUACAUCUUAGGCAAUAAUGCAGUGAAGGUCAACUUUUUGAGCUAAUACUCCGUUUUGAACUUCCCGGUUAUUUAUUUUAAAAGAAUAUUCAAAUGAUUACUAUGUUAAAGCAGGGAGAAAUAUACUCAGUGUUAUAGAUUGAUACCAAAGACUAAAAAUAUAAACAAGUGUCACCAUGGCACCAUUUAAAUCUUUGAUACCAUCCACAUUUGGAGUGUUAUGGGCCCUCUAGCUGUCCGAUCUCAAAGAGUCCCUGGAGGAAGAAAGAGAAAAUGGCAACUCAAACAAUCAAGACACUGAAGAAAACAGUAACCAGAGAUGAUGUGAGAAGAAAGAAACUGACAGCAUGAUGAAGGCAUGAGAAGGACAGAAUGAGGAAGUGAGUGGAUGCAAGCUAGAGAGA